AUGGAGACCUGUAUGAAUGGCAUAACGAGGGUUUGACUGUCUCCUCCCCCCAGUCAAUGAAAUUGAUCUGCCCGUGCAGAAGCGGACAUGAUAACAUAAGACGAGAAGACCCUAUGGAGCUUUAGGCAGAUGAUUAAGCGCACAAACCCUCCCUCCUAAACAAAGGGUGGGAACACGAGCGCCGCUAAUCAGCACGCC
rnacentral:rRNA from 1 species